AUUCGGAAGAGAGAAAAAAGUAUGAGUAUGAGACGACGAUUUAUAUUUUGUAAUAAGGCGGGGGGAGGAAGAAAGAUGAACAGUGGUGCUUCGUCUAUGCCGAAUCGCUUUAUCCAGCGUUUCACUCCUUCCUUUUCUUUUUCUUCUUCUUCCUCUUCUCCGCGCUCAGUUGGUCUGAAUAUCAACAAGCACAAUAAUGGCGACAAUUAUCCUCUCAGCUCUCCCCAUUCAAAUAUCAAUCAGAGUGCUUCCACUACUGCCGAUGUCAAUCCCCAACCUAAUGUCUUCCAACUCAUCCAAGCUCACCAGGAGCUUUUAGCAAGUCCCCAGUGCUCGUUGCUUGUGUCGAAAGAUCCUGAGGAUAGGAACGACCUAGUUAUUGUAGUGCACGGCUGUUGCUGAAACUGAAAAGGAAGCUAUCCGUAGUGCAUAUUUGGCUAGACAUCCUGAGGCUUUCUGGGUCGACUUUGGUGACUUCCAAUUUCUUCAAGUUGUUAGAUAUGUGUCGGGUGUUGCAACAGGAUCAGGAGAAUUCAGCAAGGAGGAAUUCAGAAGAGCAAAAGUGGAUCCUGUAUAUCAAUUCUCAAAGCCUACAACGGUAUGACCAACCAUAUCUACAGUAGCACACUUUAAUACUUCCCACAUGAAUAAAGAUCAUGCAGAUGAGACAAAGCUGAUAGUCCAGCACUAUACCUCCGUACAGGUGGAAUUCGCAGACAUGUUGGACAUAGCGUGAAGGCUGGUUGUCAAGGCAGCAUUUUCAAGCUCCGAAUUCCUUUCACGAGGCGUGCUACAGAUAGAACGUGAGCACUCAUAUUUCACUUACAUUGUGGAUAUGGAGAUAAUUGAGAUGAUGAGUAAAUUUGGAAGCUAACACUCAUCUCCAGUUUCAUUUAUUAUGUCAUAUAAUAGUGUGUUAAUGUUUGUAGAAAUGAUUGAAGCUGCCAAAACUGCUAACACUCACUCUCCCGCUGCAUGAUCUUCAUGCUUAUUAAUAAAUUUCACAAUUUUUUUAAACACUCCCGUACCAUCUUGGUCAAGUAAAUUAGCAAUAAAACAAGUACAAUCAUUGGAUUUAGGAGGCCUGUUAGGAUUUGGUGCGUGUAAAUGACAAAUACAUUAGUUUUUUUCAUGAUUUGUAUGGGUAAAUAUAGCUAAAGUAAAAAAAAAGUUAGAAAUAGUUUAGAUCACAUAAAUAAGCUAGUUGAAAGCGAGAAAUUAACGUUUGAAUAAGUGUAAAAAACUAUAUUGGCCACUUCAAUUUUGGCUGGUGUGAGGCGAAGGAAUCGGCGACAAGUGUAUGGCAGCUCCUAUUUUUCUCCAUUCAGUUUUAAGUUUUAACAUAUUCGACCACUCUUUGGAUAUAUAUACACCCUACUUGCUUGCAUACACUUAUCAGCAGAAAUCAGAUAAACACCAAAAAAAAGAGUUAAGAAUAAUCAAGAUGGCAUUGAAGAUGAAGGUCGCUGUGUUGGCAGCUGUGGUGGUGGCCGCAUUGUUCCAAAACGUGGCAGUGUCGACUGAGGCAAUGGCUCCAGCACCGGGACCCUCGGCCGUGGCUACCCCUUUGCUACCGGCUGCGCUGGCUUCCUGUGCUGCAGCGGCCUUUGGAAUGCUAUUUUGAUCAAACUUAAUUUCUUCAUGUUUCAUAGCAUUAGUAGUGAUUUACUUUAGUAACUAGAAGAGUAUGUUUUGUUUGGGUGGAUGAGGAUUUAAAUUUGAAUUUAGUCACAAAAAUGUGAAUUCUCUCUAUGCGUCUCUUUCGUACCUCAUUUAUAUAUAUGCAAAUCCAAUUGUCAUUGAUUAUUU